CCCAUAGGUAGAGAAAGAGAGAAUGCUAGUGAGGCGCCGGCUAGAAGUUGAUAAAAUAUGUGGAAGGUUCUCUCGUCCUUGGCCUGACGGAUAGCCCUGGAUUUUUCAAGGAGUUUUUGCAUUUCCAAAGGCCUCCAAGAUGGGAUUGGCUUGCAGUAAUUGUUGUUCCAGUUCACCCUGCGAAACAGAUUCAGUCACAAGUUAAAAAUCUGCGAAUAAUAACAAAAAUAAUGCGAGACUACAGAGUGCAAAAUUUUACCAAAAUUCCCUCCUUUUGCAGCGAAAAUUAAUUAAAAAUUCCACAUGCGAUUACCUAGAGUAACUUUACACGACACUUGUACCGUAUCAAAUUUUCAUUACAAAUAAUCAAAAAAAUACCAACUCUCAUACAGAAUCGUUCUACUGGUAAAUAUUUUUGACGUCAUAAAACAAAAAUCUGUUUGAUCGGUGAAAAUAUUGAAGUUUUACACACAUGCUGGAAUAUGAUUGAAGAAAAAUUACUUUCUUGCAAUACUACGUUUUUUUUCUAUAUUUUACUCUGAACUCAUAUUUUUUGUAUCAGUAUUGGUAACGACAAAGAAUUUUAAAUACAGAUAGGAAAAAGAACUUCAAACGUACAACAUGAUACGGCACAGCGACCGAUGCAGAAUGUUUACGAAUUUUGCAAGCACUGCAGAUACACAUAUACAUAUAUGUAAGGAAUGCGAUAAAAAAAAAAAGUUGCCCACGUUGCAACACAGGUAAUAUAUACCCUCAGGCAACGAUUAUUAUCGUCCGCACAUGAAAUAUAUCAGAAGACACAGAGAGUUAAAAAUUACAGCAAGCAUUAAUUCUGCACUUUUUUUUUUUUCAAAUAAACUACCCUGUUUUAAGAUUGUACAAAGAGAAAAGAAAAAGCAAUUUUCAGGACAUAAAUAACCACAUUAAAAAAUAUCAAGCAGGCAGCACCAUCGUUAUGCAUAUAAUAAUUAUAUAUAAUAAAUUACACGUGUGUUCGUAUAUAAUGAUCAGUGUUAAUUACCGAAAAUUUUUCCGUAAGCGUCCCUGUAGGUGACUUCAUUUACGAUGAGCAGGAAAGCGAGUGAACAAAACAAAACAAAAAAAAAAGACAACAACAACCCAUAAUUAGAUGUCAUUAUUUUUUGUUACUUUCACAAAUGAAUUUGUUACAAAAUUGUAGUAAUAAUGAAUAUUGAUGUGAGAAAAAAAAGCAACACGAAACAAUGAUACUGUUAAUACUUAGGCCAAAAUUUGGAAAAACUGAAAAAAAACACAGCCACAUAUAUUUGUUAAUUAUAUACCUAUAUAUAUAUAAAAAACAAGAGGAAAAAAAAUCUGGUAAAUUCCGUAGACGUGUUAAAAAACGGUCGAAACCUAAAUAAUUAUUAAAAAAUUAUUUGUCUUUCUUCUCAUUUUUAAUAAAGCGUCGCAUCUAAGGAAUGGUGUAUAAAUUAUAUACCUAUAUAAUACGUUAAACCUGAUUUGGCUGUUCAUAUUUAAUAUUUCAACUUACAAUGAUCAACGCCGGACUUGGAGUCUGUGGGUGGAUCCGGGAAUGUCACCACCGAGAAUAAAAGAAAUUUUAAACAUUAGAUUCACUCGCCUCUUUACACAGAAUAUAACGUAAUUUCGAUAACAUUUUUGCUUAUAUAACUUACACGUAUUGUAUGCGUUUAAUUAUCUAAACUUCGUAAAUUAGGAUGAAAAAAAAAAUAAAUUAAAUAAAAAAUUUUCACAUACAUUCUUCGUGGAAAAAAAUAAAUUACAAGUAUGACAGACCAAUCGUGAAAAUUAACCCGUUGAGGACACAUGGGGUCCAACGGACCCCAGACAAAUUUCAAUGCAAUUUUAAAUCUACAAAGACCCUUAGGAAUUAGAUAUAUAGCACCAUCUGUUGUUGUUUGAAGUCUCCACAACAAGUUUUGACACGUUACGAAGGUCUCUUUGGCAUUAGUCAUCCUGCAGAGACAUAUUAGUGCGCACGUGUUUUUUUUUUGGGGUUCUGUAGACCCCGUGUGGCCUUACUGUGGCAAAAUCUUGAAAAAAAUUCAAUUUUUUUUUUAUCGUUGAUUGAUGUUAUAUUGUUUCUGUAAACGUAAGUAUUCAUGCAUGAAUUGAAUUUUUUUCUUCAGCAAUAAAUAAUGGUUAUUAAUUAAAUAUAUAUGUGUGUAUAUAUACAGAUGUCUUAUAAUCUUCGACCUCGAACUAUCGCCAGCCGUCUAAUGGAAUAAAAUUAAAGUUUCGCACUGGUUUUAAGUCGAUACAUAGCGUAAAACACAAAUGAGAACUGUUUUUCUGCGUGGGGUGCGCUGGACCCCGUGUGUCCUCAACGUUAUUUUUUCGAUGUGUGUCCUCAACGGGUUAAGACGGAUUUAACAUUGUGCGGGUAACCCUGUGUACAAUUCAUUUAUAUUUUUUGUGCUUCUUACAAAAAAAGAGGGGCAGGGGGGGGGCAAGAAAUUGGGAACACGCAAAGGUGUGCGCGAUGAAUUGCGUAAAGUGCAUUCAUAAUGCAAUUAACGAUAACUAUCUCGUAUAAUAAUGAUUGACGGUGUUGCUCCUAAUCUAAUUUCAUAAUGUGCGGCACGCGAUGCGAACCAAGUACCGCGUAGUUGAAUAAUUACGAUAAUAAUGACAACAACAACAACAAUAACAAUAAUAAUAAUUGGAACAAGUAGCAAGAAAAAUAAUAGUAAUAAUCGGUAAAUACUUUUACAACUAUUUUACAAAAUUCCGUACAGAUUGCUAAACGAAUAAAAGAAAGCAAAAAGAAAAAAACCAUCCCGGAUCAAACGAAGCAUCCGAGUGCAAAUUCGAUUAGAUACAUUAAAUA
rnacentral:lncRNA from 1 species